rnacentral:rRNA from 1 species
UACAGAGGUCUCAAGCGUUGUUCGGAUUCAUUGGGCGUAAAGGGUGUGUAGGUGGCGCGGUAAGUCGGGUGUGAAAUUUCGGAGCUUAACUCCGAAACUGCAUUCGAUACUGCCGGGCUUGAGGACUGGAGAGGAGACUGGAAUUUACGGUGUAGCAGUGAAAUGCGUAGAGAUCGUAAGGAAGACCAGUGGCGAAGGCGGGUCUCUGGACAGUUCCUGACACUGAGGCACGAAGGCCAGGGGAGCAAACGGG